GGAAGUAAAAGUCUAACAAGGUUUCCGUAGGUGAACCUGCGGAAGGAUCAUUGUUGUAUAACCGAGGUGCGAGGGCUGUCGCUGACCCGAAAGGUCGUGCACGCCCGAGUGCCCUCACACACAUCCAUCUCACCCCUAUGUGCACCACCGCGUGGGUCCCCCUUUGGCUUGUUCGGAGGGGGGCUUACGUUUUCACACAAACUUUGUAUGCAGUGUAGAAUGUAUUUUUUGUUUUUGCGAUCACGCAAUCAAUACAACUUUCAACAACGGAUCUCUUGGCUCUC
rnacentral:misc_RNA from 1 species